UGAGGGGGGCUGCUCCUAGUACGAGAGGACCGGAGUGGACGCAUCACUGGUGUUCGGGUUGUCAUGCCAAUGGCACUGCCCGGUAGCUAAAUGCGGAAGAGAUAAGUGCUGAAAGCAUCUAAGCACGAAACUUGCCCCGAGAUGAGUUCUCCCUGACUCCUUGAGAGUCCUGAAGGAACGUUGAAGACGACGACGUUGAUAGGCCGGGUGUGUAAGCGCAGCGAUGCGUUGAGCUAACAGGUACUAAUGAACCGUGAGGCUUAACCUUACAACGCCGAAG
rnacentral:rRNA from 1 species